rnacentral:tRNA from 1 species
GUUAGCUUAGUGUAGUACCUGCACGCCGUCUUUUCAAGCCAAAAGCACUACCCAAUAGUAGCUAACC